rnacentral:lncRNA from 1 species
CAGAAGUCUGGCAUUCAUUCUAAAUGGACCUGGAGGCUGAGGAGCCCUGGAGUGGUUCCAGCUGGUUCAAACUCUGCCAGAAGUCAUUGCCUGCCAACAGCCUACCACAGUCUUGGGAGUGAACUCCAACAGUUACCAUCAUGACUGCUGAUGCAUCCCAUCAAGGAUGGAAAAAUGGGCUCCAAAUGCUGUUGCACUAUUCCUGAAAGGUA